rnacentral:rRNA from 1 species
UACGAAGGGGGCUAGCGUUGCUCGGAAUCACUGGGCGUAAAGCGCACGUAGGCGGACUCUUAAGUCGGUGGUGAAAUCCUGGAGCUCAACUCCAGAACUGCCUUCGAUACUGAGAGUCUUGAGUCCGGGAGAGGUGAGUGGAACUGCGAGUGUAGAGGUGAAAUUCGUAGAUAUUCGCAAGAACACCAGUGGCGAAGGCGGCUCACUGGCCCGGUACUGACGCUGAGGUGCGAAAAGCGUGGGGAGCAACAGG